rnacentral:rRNA from 1 species
UACCAGCACCCCGAGUGGUCGGGACGAUUAUUGGGCCUAAAGCAUCCGUAGCCGGUCCUACAAGUCUUCCGUUAAAUCCACCUGCUUAACAGAUGGGCUGCGGAAGAUACUAUAGGGCUAGGAGGCGGGAGAGGCAAACGGUACUCAGUGGGUAGGGGUAAAAUCCACUGAUCCACUGAAGACCACCAGUGGCGAAGGCGUUUGCCAGAACGCGCCUCGACGGUGAGGGAUGAAAGCUGGGGGAGCAAACCGG